GACGAACGCUGGCGGCGUGCUUAACACAUGCAGGUCGAGCGGUAAGGCCUCUUCGGGGGUACACGAGCGGCGCACGGGUGAGUAACACGUGGGUGACCUGCCCUCAGCUCUGGGAUAAGCCUGGGAAACUGGGUCUAAUACCGGAUAUGACCUUUCCUCGCAUGGGGUUUGGUGGAAAGUUUUUUCGGCUGGGGAUGGGCCCGCGGCCUAUCAGCUUGUUGGUGGGGUGAUGGCCUACCAAGGCGACGACGGGUAGCCGGCCUGAGAGGGCGACCGGCCACACUGGGACUGAGACACGGCCCAGACUCCUACGGGAGACAGCAGUGGGGAAUAUUGCGCAAUGGGCGGAAGCCUGACGCAGCGACGCCGCGUGGGGGAUGACGGCCUUCGGGUUGUAAACCUCUUUCGACCCCGACGAAUUUGGACGGUAGGGGUAGAAGAAGCACCGGCCAACUACGUG
rnacentral:rRNA from 1 species